rnacentral:misc_RNA from 1 species
GUCCUUAACGAAGGGAGGAGGCCCACUCCUACGGGAGGCAGCAGUGGGACUCCUACGGUAGCCAGCAGUGGGACGCAAACAGGAGGCAGCAGUGGGACUCCUACGGGAGGCAGCAGUGGGACCCACUCCUACGGGAGGCAGCAGUGGGGCAGUUGGCUCAGAACGAACGCUGGCGGCUGGCUCAGAACGAACGCUGGCGGCAGCAGUGGACUCCUACAGGAGGCAGCAGUGGGACCUUGGCUCAGAACGAACGCUGGCGGCUGGCUCAUAACGAACGCUGGCGGCCAACUCCUACGGGAGGCAGCAGUG